GCGUCCGAAUGUUGAUCAUAUGGGGAUGCUGCAAUGAUCAUGUGAAAAAUAGUCAUGUCAGUUUUUUCAUAAGUCAGUGCCAUUGUAACUUCGAACACUAAACCAAUGUAAUAUUGAUUCAUAAAUCAGGAACAAAUAUAUACAUGAAGGGAAAAAUGCAUGAGCGACAAUACCAAUCUAACAGGAACAGCUCUACCUCUCAUCUACUUUACCAAUAUUUUUUUAAAAAAUCUUUUAAACAUCAUAGCAAUAACUAAAAAUUGAUUAAAUCAUUCCAAGGCA